UACGUAGGGUGCGAGCGUUAAUCGGAAUUACUGGGCGUAAAGCGUGCGCAGGCGGUUCGUUGUGUCGGCGGGGAAAGCCCCGGGCUUAACCUGGGAACGGCCGUUGAAACUGGCGAACUGGAGUGUGGCAGAGGGGGGUGGAAUUCCGCGUGUAGCAGUGAAAUGCGUAGAUAUCAAGAGGAACACCUGAGGUGAAGACGGGUUGCUGGGCCGACACUGACGCUGAUGCGCGAAAGCCAGGGGAGCAAACGGG
rnacentral:rRNA from 1 species